GUCAAACGGGGCUCCGUGGCCAUUUUGCGGCAAGGCGGAGAUCGCCAUCUUCUCGGUCCUUGGUAGUGUCGCAGCAAUCCGCGUCCAUCCUCGCUCCAGUACCGCUCCCUCGCCUCGAACGCAGUUCAGUCAUCAUCUUGAGCACCACAGCUAUCGUCAUGUACCCCAACAGGUUCAGGGGCGGCGGUACCCCUUAUAAUAACAACAAUAACAACAGGCGCGGCGGCGCUAAUCUCAACGUGCGCCAGAGUUUCUACGGAAAUCGCGACAAUAGGCCGCCAUUCCAGCAGCAUCAACAACAGCAGAUACAUCAACAACUACUCCAGCAGCAGCAGCAAGUGCAACAGCAAGUGCAGCAGCAGCAGCAGAAGCCGCCUCAGGUAACGCAGCAGAAGCCGCUUCAGGUCCCGCCGCAGAAACCGCCGACUCCCGUCAUGUCGGCUCCUCUGGGCAUCAAGACGGCGCCGAGGGUGGAGAAGCCUGGGCCCAACAUCGUCAUCAACAACAGCAACAACAAGCCGCCCCAGCAGCAGAAGCCUCCAGUAGCUGUACAGCAGCAGAAGCCACCGGUAACUGUACCGCAACAGCAGAAGCCGCCGGUGGUUUUACCGCAGCAGCAGCAGAAGCCGCCGGUGGCUUUACCGCAGCAGCAGCAGAAGCCGCCGGUGGCUGCACCUCAGCAGCAGAAGCCGCCGGUCGCUUCACCGCAGCAGCAGCAGAAGCCGCCGGUCGCUUCACCGCAGCAGCAGCAGAAGCCGCCGGUCGCUUCACCGCAGCAGCAGCAGCAGCAGAAGCCGCCGGUCGCUUCACCGCAGCAGCAGCAGAAGCCGCCGGUCGCUUCACCGCAGCAGCAGCAGAAGCCGCCGGCCCAGCAGCAACAGCAGAAGCCGCAGCCUCAGUUGCCCCAACAGCAACAGAAGCCGCCUUUGACCCCGCAGAUACAGCAGCAGCAGAAGCCGCAGAUACAACAGCAGCAGCAGAAGCCGCAGAUACAACAGCAGCAGCCGAAGCCGCAGAUACAACAGCAGCAGAAGCCGCAGGUACAACAGCAGCAGCAGAAGCCGCAGAUACAACAGCAGCAGAAGCCGCAGAUACAACAGCAGCAGCAGAAGCCGCAGAUACAACAGCAGCAGCAGCAGAAGCCGCAGAUACAACAGCAGCAGCAAGGACAACAGAGUUUGCAGCAGCAGCUUCAGCAGAAGCAACAGGCGAAGGCCGCAGAGGAGGCGGCGACCAAGGAGGAGCAGCAGAGGCAGCUGGCGCUCGACCUUAAGACGUUCAGGAAGCCGGGCGAGAAAACCUACACACAGCGAUGCCGCCUCUUCGUGGGCAACGUCCCCAGCGACCUGAGCGAGGAGGGGUUCCGCAAGAUGUUCGCCAAGUACGGCGAGCCGUCCGAAAUAUUCCUCAACUCCGACAAAGGCUUCGGCUUCAUCCGCCUGGAGACGCGCACCAUUGCCGAGUUGGCCAAAGCAGAGCUGGACGGCAUCAUGAUGCGUAAUCGGCCUCUGCGUGUGCGUUUCGCCACGCAUGGGGCCGCCCUGUCAGUACGGAACCUCUCGCCCAUGGUUUCCAAUGAGCUGCUGGAGGAGGCCUUCAGCCUGUUCGGCAUGGUGGAGCGCGCCGUCGUGGUGGCGGACGAGCGCGGCCGCUCCACAGGCCGUGGUAUCGUCGAGUUCGCUACCAAGCCUGCGGCACGAAAAGCAAUGGACCGCUGCACGGACGGCGCCUUCCUGCUGACUGCCUCGCCCCGGCCCGUGAUCGUGGAACCACUGGAGCAGUAUGACGAGGAGGACGGGUUGCCAGAGAAGUCCAUUCAGAAGCACCCACUCUACCAGAAGGAACGGGAGCAGCCACCUCGCUUUGCGCAGCCUGGCUCGUUUGAGUGCGAGUUUUCAACACGGUGGAAGUCUCUCGAUGAGAUGGAGCGUCAACAGAGGGACCAGGUGGAAAAGAACAUGAGGGAGGCUCGUGAGAAACUGGAUGCUGAGAUGGAGGCAGCUUCUCACGAGCACCAGGCCAUGCUCAUGCGCCAAGAGUUGUUGCGGCGUCAGGAGGAGUUGAGGCGCUUGGAGGAACUGAGAAACCAGGAGCUCCAGAAGCGCAAGGAAAUUGAGAUGAGACACGAGGAGGAACGUAGGCGGCGCGAGGAGGAGAUGAUCCGGCGCCAGCGCGAACAGGAGGAAAUGCUCCGUCGCCAGCAGGAUAGCUACCGCAUGAACUACAUGGAGGGCGCCGUGAGUACCCAGGAUGAUAAGUCCAUUUUCACUGAAGGUUAUGGAAUGCUCCAGCACCAGCUACAUAGUUCCCAGAGAGAAGGCGAGAUGCGUAUGACUGAUUUGGGGGCCCGCAGCAACAUGUCCAUGACAGAUGGGUAUGGGCAGGCUGUGACGGGCAACCAGGGCCAAAACGCCAUGCUCGGCAUGAAUUACCAGCAGCAGGCUGGGGCAAGUAUGGGCCAGGCGGGGGCAGGAGCGACCGGAGGGAUGGGCAGCCCCAUGAUGGGCUCGGCCAACAACGGCAUGGCAACGCCGGGGUGACAUGACCUCUUGUGGAGUGACCUUUGGUGAAACACAACGCGGAGGAGGAGGGGGGGGCACUGCAGAGUUUGAAAUGCAUCGGCAAAGAGUACCGCAAAUGUGGCUUCCAUCGGGAGAAUGAGGCACCGCGUCGGGAGAAAACCGACGCUGCGUCUGCAGGAUGGGAUGCUGGGUCUGCAGGACGGGACGCCGGAUCUGUAGGACGGGACGCCGCAUCUGCAGGACGGGGCGCCAAUUCUGCAGGACGGGACGCCGCGUCUGGAGGACGGGUUGCUGCACCACAAGCCGCGGUUUCAGCAAUAAGAGGAGAUCUCCCUGCAAGCUCAGAAUCGCAGGCAACGUCAGCCAGCCCCGAACCAGUGGCACCUCAAAUGAAGAAGCGUACCGCAAGCCACCACCAACGCCGUCAUUAUGAUCUGGGCACCAUUGGUCUCAGCCAGAAGCGGCGCCAUGUUUUGGGUGGUAUAUGCGCUUCAACCGAUCAUGCCAGCUUUCUAUAGGGUAAAUCCUGAACAGCAACAACAACUUUACAGGUUCAUUCGUAUUAGAUCAUCGUUACGAGAAUAAUCGUCCCCACCCCCAAUUACGAACGGGCAGCCGUGGCAGCAUAUUGAGCUGCGUCAGGAACAUGGGGAGGCAGCUACUCCUGCGCAGCAGCUGCUGGAAAGUGGGGUCGUGGUGGCACUCCAGGCCUGUGCGUGCCUCAAUCUUUCUAAGGAACUGCUCCACAUCGGUCCGUAGUCUUCUCUCGUCCGCAUGCUGCAUCUACUCGCAGCAUGGGGGGCAGCACAAUGAGGCACGGUGGGCGUAGGGUUAGACACGGCGGGCGUAGAGCCCGGGGGAACAGCAAGUGGCAGGGAGAUGGCUUUGUUUCCCCAGUGCUGAUGGUUACACACUGCACUUGUUACUCAUUUAAGGCCGAGUCAAUCGGGGGGAGGGCCCUCUCGUGGGAAUCGAACUCGGAUCACCGGGGUUAGAGCGCAUUGCACUAACCACUGUGCCACCGUUAAACACGCAUACGUAAUGAGUGUGGAGGUGUACGCACGCAUACGUCCCGAAUAGAUGAAAGGGUUGAGGGUGAAGAGAUGGUGCCAUAACGAGGGGAGGCCACGGCUCAAACCCAGGUGUGAAAGUGACAGGUAACAAGUGUCAUAUGACCGGUGGUCAUGGCUGCUUAGGACAACCUUGGAGGCCUGAAAAUGAGUGCAUGGCCCGGCCGUGCUGGCUCAGCGACCUCGAACACUCUGGGACAUUCCCACUGGUCACCCUGACCCAGUGGUAGAAAUUCCACAUUCCCUUUAGUCCAUGGGCCUGAGCAGAAUCUGGUAGCACCUGACCUGGCACAACUUACACAAAUAUUUUUUUUCUCAUUAAUAUUUUUGUAGCGUCAACAAUUCAAAGACAGUUUAUAGGAGGCACCUUCUUUAUUAACAACUUCCACUGUCUCGUCCACACACUCGCAUCAAUAGCUUUGCCUAGCUGGUACAUAACACUAGCCGUCUAACACUGACGGCGCUGACUGAGAUAGCCAACUACUAUCCUUCGUAGCGCAGUAUCUAGCGGAGACGUUGAGCGACGACAGCAACGACGAGACGAGUCCAUUCCCAGAACUGGCAGCCUCGAGCCCCCGCUGUCGUCUCCUUUUAUGGAGGUUGAAGGUGGGAAACAUUGGUCUUAAACCAGAGACUUACUGCACAACAUGGGCUUUUUCUGCACUGCCCUCUGCUGCCCGAAACAUUUCCCUGCGGCCUCUUCACAUGAAGUAUGGUAUUAAAAAAAACCCAACCUGGCGUGGCGAGGCCUUCAUUCAUUGCUUAGAAAUAGCUGUAAAUUAUUUUAUUGUGCGAAUACUCUGUACAAUAUACCUCCAUACAAUACUACGAUAUAAUCUACAUCAGGAAUUAAUUGACUUCUGUAAAAAUAUGAAAUUAUGAAAUCUACAAUGGUAUGAAUCUUGGAGAAUCUACAGUGGUGUGGAUACAGAAUCCACACCAGUGGGAAUAUAUACUCUACAGCUGUAGAAAAGUAGAGAAGGAAGUGUUACAAACGCAAAUUAUUAAGAAUAAAACAUUGAAUAUUGUUGGCCAUGA